rnacentral:lncRNA from 1 species
CAAGAGAAAGAAGAAGGACUUGAAAGGGAGGAAGAAGAUCCCAUCUUGCUGCCUCCUUUUCUUUUAUUCUUGUGGAUGGAAGAAGGGUGAAGAGAGAAAGCCACACGCCACCCUAUUUUUCUUUGAUGCUCACGGCUGAAAACCCAAGAGGAAGGAGGCUUUCCCAUGGCACAAAAACCAAGAGGGGAGGAGGCACUCUCACGGCACAAAAAGCGGAGAGAAAGGGAUCUCACGGCAUCAAAA